rnacentral:rRNA from 1 species
GAUGACCUCGGAUCAGGUAGGGAUACCCGCUGAACUUAAGCAUAUCAAUAAGCGGAGGAAAAGAAACCAACCGGGAUUACCUCAGUAACGGCGAGGGAAGCGGCAAA